rnacentral:rRNA from 1 species
ACUCAAAUGAAUUGACGGGAACCCGCACAAGUGGUGGAGCAUGUGGUUUAAUUCGACGCUAAGCGAGGAACCUUACCAGGGCUUGAAAUCUCACUGCAUUUGAUCCGAAAGGAACAAAGCCUUCGAGGGUGUGAGACAGGUGAUGCAUGGCUGUCGUCAGCUCGUGGCGUGAGCUGUUCGGUUAAGUCCGGAAACGAGCGCAACCCCUAUGAAAUGUUAAAUAUUCAUUUCAGACCGCUGCCUUGAAGGCAGAGGAAGGUGGGGACGACGUCAAGUCAGCAUGUCCCUCUGACGCCCUGGGCGACACACGUGCUACAAUGGCCAAGACAACGGGCAUAGCCAAGGCGUAAGCCGGAGCGAAUCCCAUCAAACUUGGUCUCAGUUCGGAUUGAGGUCUGCAACCCGACCUCAUGAAGCUGGAAUCACUAGUAAACGCGUAUCAGCCACGGCGCGUUGAAUACGUUCUCGGGUUUUGUACACACCGCCCGU